rnacentral:rRNA from 1 species
GACGAACGCUGGCGGCGUGCCUAAUACAUGCAAGUUGAGCGCUGAAGGUUGGUACUUGUACCAACUGGAUGAGCAGCGAACGGGUGAGUAACGCGUGGGGAAUCUGCCUUUGAGCGGGGGACAACAUUUGGAAACGAAUGCUAAUACCGCAUAAAAACUUUAAACACAAGUUUUAAGUUUGAAAGAUGCAAUUGCACCACUCAAAGAUGAUCCCGCGUUGUAUUAGCUAGUUGGUGAGGUAAAGGCUCACCAAGGCGAUGAUACAUAGCCGACCUGAGAGGGUGAUCGGCCACAUUGGGACUGAGACACGGCCCAAACUACUACGGGAGGCAGCAGUAGGGAAUCUUCGGCAAUGGACGAAAGUCUGACCGAGCAACGCCGCGGGAGUGAAGAAGGGUGUCGGAUCGUAAAACUCUGUUGGUAGAGAAGAACGUUGGUGAGAGUGGAAAGCUCAUCAAGUGACGGUAACUACCCAGAAAGGGACGGCUAACUACGUG